AACGAACGCUGGCGGCAUGCCUAACACAUGCAAGUCGAACGAGACCUUCGGGUCUAGUGGCGCACGGGUGCGUAACGCGUGGGAAUCUACCCUUGGGUUCGGAAUAACUCAGAGAAAUUUGAGCUAAUACCGGAUGAUGUCGCAAGACCAAAGAUUUAUCGCCCAAGGAUGAGCCCGCGUAGGAUUAGCUUGUUGGUGAGGUAAAAGCUCACCAAGGCGACGAUCCUUAGCUGGUCUGAGAGGAUGAUCAGCCACACUGGGACUGAGACACGGCCCAGACUCCUACGGGAGGCAGCAGUGGGGAAUAUUGGACAAUGGGCGAAAGCCUGAUCCAGCAAUGCCGCGUGAGUGAUGAAGGCCUUAGGGUUGUAAAGCUCUUUUACCCGGGAUGAUAAUGACAGUACCGGGAGAAUAAGCCCGGCUAACUCCGUGCCAGCAGCCGCGGUAAU
rnacentral:rRNA from 1 species